CACCAGGCGCGAAAACUUUACAAUGCGGGAAACCGUGAUAAGGGGACACCGAGUGCCAGCAUCAUAUGCUGGCUGUCCAGGUGUGUAAAAUACACCUGUUAGCAAGGGCCGGGCAAGACCGGUGCCAGCCGCCGCGGUAACACCGGCGGCCCGAGUGGUGAUCGUGAUUAUUGGGUCUAAAGGGUCCGUAGCCGGUUUGGUCAGUCCUCCGGGAAAUCUGACGGCUCAACCGUUAGGCUUUCGGGGGAUACUGCCAGGCUUGGAACCGGGAGAGGUAAGAGGUACUACAGGGGUAGGAGUGAAAUCUUGUAAUCCCUGUGAGACCACCUGUGGCGAAGGCGUCUUACCAGAACGGGUUCGACGGUGAGGGACGAAAGCUGGGGGCACGAACCGGAUUAGAUACCCGGGUAGUCCCAGCCGUAAACGAUGCUCGCUAGGUGUCAGGCAUGGCGCGACCGUGUCUGGUGCCGCAGGGAAGCCGUGAAGCGAGCCACCUGGGAAGUACGGCCGCAAGGCUGAAACUUAAAGGAAUGG
rnacentral:rRNA from 1 species